GAUGAACGCUAGCGGCAGGCUUAACACAUGCAAGUCGAGGGGUAGUGGGAGCUUGCUUCCACGAGACCGGCGCACGGGUGCGUAACGCGUAUGCAAUCUGCCUCUCACUGGGGAAUAGCCCGGAGAAAUCCGGAUUAAUGCCCCAUGGUAUUUUUGAAUGGCAUCAUUCGUCUAUUAAAGAUUUAUCGGUGAGAGAUGAGCAUGCGUCCCAUUAGUUAGUUGGUAAGGUAACGGCUUACCAAGACGAUUAUGGGUAGGGGUCCUGAGAGGGCGAUCUCCCACACUGGGACUGAGAAAGGGACCAGAAUCCUACGGGAGGCAGCAGUGAGGAAUAUUGGUCAAUGGGCGAAAGCCUGAUCCAGCCAUGCCGCGUGCAGGACGACGGCCCUAUGGGUUGUAAACUGCUUUUGUACGGGAAGAAACAGCGAUUCGUGAAUCGCCUUGACGGUACCGUAAGAAUAAGGAUCGGCUAACUCCGUGCCAGCAGCCGCCGUAA
rnacentral:rRNA from 1 species